GGAAUGUCGAGCCCGACGAAGACACGUAACAUGGCCGAAUGAGAGCCAUCACUUAAUUCCAUGGCAAGAAUUCAUUUCAAUGUCCCACAGUUUCUACACAACCUGAGACAUGUGAGAUGGGAGACAACCCUGCAGAGAUGGUCCACCAAACAAGCUGCUCUAGCGGCUGUGCUUAUUCUUACUGUUCUAGUGAUUUUAUUCAUAAUUGUGGAGACAAUAUUUUUUGGUCGACCCCCUAUAAACAAGAAACACCAGCAUGUGAUUGAGGGGGGUAAGGGGCUGGGCCCCAAGGUUCACUAUGGAAUUGUCAUUGACUGUGGGAGUAGUGGCAGCAGAGUGUUUCUAUAUUUCUGGCCUCCACACUCAGGGAAUCCAAAGGAUCUCCUAAACAUCCAACAGUUUAUGGACAGUCAGGGAAAUCCAGUUGUAAAGAAGAUAAAACCAGGUCUGUUGAUCAAAAAGAGCUUUUUAAAUCCCAGUGGGAUGUUGUUGUGUUCUAUACAUGUAGCUACAUGAAACAAAAAUCAUGUGAGUAUUAUUGCUGAAAGUAUCUGUCAUGGCCAAAAGUUAUAACAGCUUGAAGCUAGAAGGAAUUUUCAAUGUAGAUAUGUAAUAUUUAGAAUCAGAAAUGAAAAAUAAUACUGAUAGUCAAGUUAGUGGUGAAAAGUAAUAAUUGUUCUGACAAUGUUUUUAUGUAACUACAGGUUUGGACACUUUUAAGGAUAAUCCAGAAGCGGCCAGUGACUACAUCAAGCCUUUGUUACAGUUUGUGGCAGCUCACAUACCGGUGGAUCAACAAAAAGAGACCAUUUUGUUUAUUCUUGCAACUGCAGGCAUGCGCAUGAUCCCGGAAGAGUCCCAAAAGGCCAUUUUCCAGAACCUGUACACAGAAAUCCCUAAGAUGUUUCCAUUUGUGAUCUCGGAGAGUAACCUGGAGGUGAUCAGUGGUAAACAGGAGGGUGUGUAUGCCUGGAUCGCAGUCAACUACGUACUGCACAAGUUUGAUCAUGGCGCAGAUGAACACCCUCUAGUGGCUGUAGAAGUUCCUGGCAACACGAACAAAGAGAAGAGAACUCAUGUCAGGCGAAGAACAGUGGGAAUGCUGGAUAUGGGAGGGGGAUCAAUGCAGAUAGCAUUCGAAAUCACAUCUAAGUACAAUAACAUUCCCAAGCAUAGAAUAGCAGAGUUUAAUUUGGGCUGCAAGAACAAUGAUUUGGACCACACUUAUAGGGUGUAUGUGACCACAUAUCUUGGAUUUGGUGCGAACGAAGCAAGGGAACAUUAUGAGGAGUUCUUACUGACAUCUAAUGCCAGUCUAACCAACUCAGAUAUGGAAAACACAACAUUUAACAUUCCAUUUAAUAGAGAGAAGACAAGGUUCAAUGUAUCUGACCCCUGCCUGCCUGUAGGUCUGACUCAGGAGGUCAAGGACACAGAAAGUCAUAUCCACUUCCUUCAUGGACUAGGAGAUUAUGAGGCGUGUUCCUCUAAGUUAGUGAAAUUACUGAACAGGAAUGCUUCCAUUCCCUGUGAACAAGCACCUUGUUCAAUGAACGGUGUUCAUCAACCCAUGAUUUCAUUCCAUAACAGUGAAUUCUAUGGAUUUUCUGAGUUUUGGUAUACCAUGGAUGAUGUUUUCAGGAUAGGAGGAAUUUACAACUUUGAAAAAUUCAAGUUUGAAGCAAAAAAAUUCUGUGGAACCAAGUGGUCCACCCUACAGUCUUGGUAUGAGGAGAAGCUUUACCCCAGAGCAGACGAAAACAGAUUCAGAUUCCAGUGUUUUAAGGCUGCCUGGAUGACAACAGUUCUUCAUAAAGGACUGAAGUUCCCACCCAGCUACCACAUGCUGCGGUCAGUACAGCUGAUCAACCACAGAGAGGUUCAAUGGACGCUGGGCGCUCUCCUCCACCGCACACGGUUCCUACCACUGAGGGGGAUGAACUCUUUUGAAACUCAACACCCUCCACCCCACUGGGUUAAAAACAGAUAUGUCAUCAAUGAAUAUGUGAUCGUCUUUUGCUUUGUGAUUGUUACUAUUGCCAUUUUAUCUUAUCUGAAACACUUGAGGAUCUGUCAGUCUAAAAAGACAGACAAACUCCAUCAUGUUCCAUCCAUGUCCUAUUUCAUGGUGGAGGAGGACCAGAUAGAACAGGGCCUGAACUACGUCAUUGUCGACCACAAAGAUCUAGAACAAUAGCAUUCAGUGAUUUCUUAAAUUAUUUAUAUCCAUUGUUUAUUUGUAAUAAAUUCUGUACAUGU
rnacentral:misc_RNA from 1 species